rnacentral:rRNA from 1 species
GAUGAACGCUGGCGGCGUGCCUAAUACAUGCAAGUCGAGCGAACAGACGAGGAGCUUGCUCCUCUGACGUUAGCGGCGGACGGGUGAGUAACACGUGGAUAACCUACCUAUAAGACUGGGAUAACUUCGGGAAACCGGAGCUAAUACCGGAUAAUAUAUUGAACCGCAUGGUUCAAUAGUGAAAGACGGUUUUGCUGUCACUUAUAGAUGGAUCCGCGCCGCAUUAGCUAGUUGGUAAGGUAACGGCUUACCAAGGCGACGAUGCGUAGCCGACCUGAGAGGGUGAUCGGCCCAACUGGAAUGGAGACCCGGCACAGACCCCUACGGGAGGCAGCAGGAGGGAAUCUUCCGCAAUGGGCGAAAGCCUGACGGGGCAACCCCGCGGGAGUGAUGAAGGUCUUCGGAUCGUAAAACUUUGUUAUUAGGGAAGAACAAAUGUGUAAGUAACUAUGCACGUCUGGACGGUACCUAAUCAGAAAGCCCCGGUUAACUACGU